GGAGCCUACGGGAGGCAGCAGUGGGGGAUAUUGCACAAUGGGGGGAACCCUGAUGCAGCGACGCCGCGUGGGUGAAGAAGCGCCUCGGCGCGUAAAGCCCUGUCAGCAGGGAAGAAAAUGACGGUACCUGAAGAAGAAGCCCCGGCUAACUACGUGCAAGCAGCCGCGGGAAUACGUAGGGGGCAAGCGUUAUCCGGAUUUACUGGGUGUAAAGGGGGCGCAGACGGCGAUGCAAGACAGGAGUGAAAGCCGGGGGCCCAACCCCGGGACUG
rnacentral:rRNA from 1 species